UUAUGGAUUUAUUUAUUUAUUUAAUUUAAUAAAAUUAUUUUUUUAUUUAUUAAUUUAAUUGAAAAAUUUGUUUUUAUUAUAGUUUAUUAGUAAAGUGAUUGAAUUUUUUUAUAUUUAUAAAAGUAUAAUUUAUUUUUUGUACCUUGUGUAUCAGGGUUUAUUAAUUAAGAAUUUUUUAUAAAAUUUUCUCGAAUUAAAAAGUUCUAAUUGAUUAUAUGUUUAAUUUUUUCAUAAAUUUUCAUAAUUUUUAAUUAGAAAUGAAAUGUUAUUCGUUUUUUAAUAUAUCUAGUUUUUUAAGAAAAAAAUUUAAUUUUGUUAUUAUUUAUUUAUUAGUUAAUUUUUAAUUAAUAAAUUUUAGUAUCAAAUAUUUAAAGGGAUAAGCUUUUAUUUAUAUUAUUAAAAAUUUUAUUUAUUUUAUCUUUUGUAUAAUUUAUAUUGUUAAUCAUAUGAAUAAUUUAAUAUUUAAUUUUAUUUUAUUUAAAAUUUAUAUUAAUUUUAAUUUUUAUAUUAAAAAAUUUUGUUUAAUAUAAUUUCUUUAGGUAUUAUGAUUAAAUUAGUAGAUGAAUAUGUAUAAAAUAUUUAAUUUUUUUAGGUAAUAAAAAGGAACUCGGCAAAAUAAAUUUUCUGCCUGUUUAUUAAAAACAUGUCUUUUUGAUAAUAAUUUAAGGUUUAAUCUGCUCAAUGAAUUAUUAAAUUGCCGCAGUAUUUUGACUGUGCAAAGGUAGCAUAAUAAUUAGCUUUUUUAUUGGGAGCUGGAAUGAAUGAUUGGACAAGAAAAUUUCUGUCUCUUUAUUAUUUUUUAUUGAAUUUUACUUUUAAGUUAAAAGGCUUAAAUUUUUUUAAAAGACGAGAAGACCCUAUAGAGUUUAAUUUUUUAACGGGUAAAAUUUAUUGGUAUAAAGAAUAUUUUUAUUUAUAGAAAAAUUUGGUUGGGGUGACUGAAAGAUAAUAUUAACUCUUUUAAUUAUAAUCAAUUAUAUUUGAAUGUAAAAUCUAUAUUUUUAAUUUUAAAAUAAAUUACCUUAGGGAUAACAGCGUAAUUUUUUUUUAGAGUUCUUAUUAAAAGAAAAGUUUGCGACCUCGAUGUUGGAUUAAAAUUUAUUUUAGGUGUAGAAGCUUGAAUAUUAAGUCUGUUCGACUUUUAAAAUUUUACAUGAUCUGAGUUUAAACCGGUGUGAGCCAGGUUGGUUUCUAUCUUUAAAUUUUUAAUAUAUUUUAGUACGAAAGGACCAAAUAUAUAGUAAGUUAUUUUAAAUUGAAUAUUAUU
rnacentral:rRNA from 1 species